rnacentral:misc_RNA from 1 species
GAUGAAGAACGCAGCGAACUGCGAUAAGUAAUGUGAAUUGCAGAAUUCAGUGAAUCAUCGAGUCUUUGAACGCACAUUGCGCCCCCUGGCAUUCCGGGGGGCAUGCCUGUCCGAGCGUCAUUGCUGCCCUUCAAGCCCGGCUUGUGUGUUGGGUCGUCGUCCCCCCCGGGGGACGGGCCCGAAAGGCAGCGGCGGCACCGCGUCCGGUCCUCGAGCGUAUGGGGCUUUGUCACCCGCUCGAUUAGGGCCGGCCGGGCGACAGCCGGCGUCUCCAACCUUCUAUUUUACCAGGUUGACCUCGGAUCAGGUAGGGAUACCCGCUGAACUUAAGCAUAUCAAUAAGCGGAGGA